rnacentral:rRNA from 1 species
CUGGAAGGGGUGUAUUUAUUAGAUAAAAAUCAACUUUGUUGGUGAAUCAUAAUAACUUCUCGGACCGCAUGGCCUCGUGCUGGCGGUGCUUCAUUCAAAUAUCUGCCCUAUCAACUGUCGAUGGUAGGAUAGAGGCCUACCAUGGUUGCAACGGGUAACGGGGAAUAAGGGUUCGAUUCCGGAGAGGGAGCCUGAGAAACGGCUACCACAUCCAAGGAAGGCAGCAGGCGCGCAAAUUACCCAAUCCCAACACGGGGAGGUAGUGACAAUAUGUAACAAUAUACGGCCUUAUACGUCGUAUAAUUGGAAUGAGUACAAUUUAAAUCCCUUAACGAGGAACAAUUGGAGGGCAAGUCAGGUGCCAGCUGCCUCGGUAAUUCCAGCUCCAAUAGCGUAUAUUAAAGUUGUUGUGGUUAAAAAGCUCGUAGUUGAACCUUGGGCCUGGCUGGCCGGUCCGCCUCACCGCGUGCACUGGUCCGGCCGGGCCUUUCCCUCUGUGGAACCCCAUACCCUUCACUGGGCGUGGCGGGGAAACAGGACAUUUACUUUGAAAAAAUUAGAGUGCUCCAGGCAGGC